CCUACGGGAGGCAGCAGUGGGGGAUAUUGCACAAUGGGGGGAACCCUGAUGCAGCGACGCCGCGUGGGUGAAGAAGCGCCUCGGCGCGUAAAGCCCUGUCAGCAGGGAAGAAAAUGACGGUACCUGAAGAAGAAGCCCCGGCUAACUACGUGCCAGCCGCCGCGGUAAUACGUAGGGGGCAAGCGUUAUCCGGAUUUACUGGGUGUAAAGGGGGCGCAGACGGCGAUGCAAGCCAGGAGUGAAAGCCCGGGGCCCAACCCCGGGACUGCUCUUGGAACGGCGUGGCUGGCGUGCAGGAGGGGCAGGCGGAAUUGCUGGGGUGGCGGGGAAAUGCGUGGAUAUCAGGAGGAACACCGGUGGCGAAGGCGGCCUGGUGGACUGCAACUGACGUUGAGGCCGGAAGGCGGGGGGAGCAAACAGGAUUAGAUACCCCAGUAGUC
rnacentral:rRNA from 1 species